CCUACGGGAGGCAGCAGUGGGGAAUAUUGGACAAUGGGGGGAACCCUGAUCCAGCGACGCCGCGUGCGUGAAGAAGUAUUUCGGUAUGUAAAGCUCUAUCAGCAGGGAAGAAAGAAAUGACGGUACCUGACUAAGAAGCCCCGGCUAACUACGUGCCAGCAGCCGCGGUAAUACGUAGGGGGCAAGCGUUAUCCGGAUUUACUGGGUGUAAAGGGAGCGUAGACGGCGAUGCAAGUCUGAAGUGAAAGGCGGGGGGCCAACCCCCGGACUGCAUUGGAAACUGUAUGGCUGGAGUGCAGGAGAGGUAAGUGGAAUUCCUAGUGUAGCGGUGAAAUGCGUAGAUAUUAGGAGGAACACCAGUGGCGAAGGCGGCUUACUGGACUGUAACUGACGUUGAGGCUCGAAAGCGUGGGGAGCAAACAGGAUUAGAUACCCCUGUAGUC
rnacentral:rRNA from 1 species